rnacentral:rRNA from 1 species
GACGAACGCUGGCGGCGUGCUUAACACAUGCAAGUCGAACGGAAAGGCCCUGCUUUUGUGGGGUGCUCGAGUGGCGAACGGGUGAGUAACACGUGAGUAACCUGCCCUUGACUUUGGGAUAACUUCAGGAAACUGGGGCUAAUACCGGAUAGGAGCUCCUGCUGCAUGGUGGGGGUUGGAAAGUUUCGGCGGUUGGGGAUGGACUCGCGGCUUAUCAGCUUGUUGGUGGGGUAGUGGCUUACCAAGGCUUUGACGGGUAGCCGGCCUGAGAGGGUGACCGGCCCAAAUUGGACUGGGGUACCGGCCAGGCCCCUUACGGGGGGAAGAGGGGGGGAUAAUUGCACAUGGGCGGGAGGCUUGAGGAGCAAACGCGGGGGGGGGGAGGAGGGCUUUGGGUUGGAAACCGCUUUCGGCCGGGAAGAAGGGGGGGGGGCGGGAAUUGGGUAAGAAGCACCGGCUAACUACGUG